rnacentral:rRNA from 1 species
GAGUUUGAUCUUGGCUCAGAUUGAACGCUGGCGGCAUGCCUUACACAUGCAAGUCGAACGGCAGCGCGGACUUCGGUCUGGCGGCGAGUGGCGAACGGGUGAGUAAUACAUCGGAACGUACCCUGUUGUGGGGGAUAACUAGUCGAAAGAUUAGCUAAUACCGCAUACGACCUGAGGGUGAAAGUGGGGGACCGCAAGGCCUCACGCAGCAGGAGCGGCCGAUGUCUGAUUAGCUAGUUGGUGGGGUAAAGGCCCACCAAGGCGACGAUCAGUAGCUGGUCUGAGAGGACGAUCAGCCACACUGGGACUGAGACACGGCCCAGACUCCUACGGGAGGCAGUAGUGGGGAAUUUUGGACAAUGGGGGCAACCCUGAUCCAGCAAUGCCGCGUGUGUGAAGAAGGCCUU